AAGCCAGACUCCUACGGGAGGCAGCAGUGGGGAAUAUUGCACAAUGGGGGAAACCCUGAUGCAGCGACGCCGCGUGAAGGAUGAAGUAUUUCGGUAUGUAAACUUCUAUCAGCAGGGAAGAAAAUGACGGUACCUGAUUAAGAAGCCCCGGCUAACUACGUGCCAGCAGCCGCGGUAAUACGUAGGGGGCAAGCGUUAUCCGGAUUCACUGGGUGUAAAGGGAGCGUAGACGGCGACGCAAGUCUGGAGUGAAAGCCCGGGGCCCAACCCCGGGACUGCUCUGGAAACUGCGGCGCUGGAGUACGGGAGGGGCAGGCGGAAUUCCUGGUGUAGCGGUGAAAUGCGUAGAUAUCAGGAGGAACACCGGCGGCGAAGGCGGCCUGCUGGACCGUGACUGACGUUGAGGCUCGAGAGCGUGGGGAGCAAACAGGAUUAGAUACCCUGGUAC
rnacentral:rRNA from 1 species